rnacentral:rRNA from 1 species
CCCGCACAAGCGGAGGAACAUGUGGUUUAAUUCGAUGAUACGCGAGGAACCUUACCUGGGCUUAAAUGGGGAGUGACAGCUGUCGAAAGAUGGUUUUCUUCGGACACUCUUCAAGGUGCUGCAUGGUUGUCGUCAGCUCGUGCCGUGAGGUGUCGGGUUAAGUCCCAUAACGAGCGCAACCCUUACCGUUAGUUACCAUCAGGUUAAGCUGGGGACUCUAGCGGGACUGCCACCGUAAGGUGAGAGGAAGGUGGGGAUGACGUCAAAUCAGCACGGCCCUUAUGUCCAGGGCUACACACGUGUUACAAUGGCCGGUACAAAGGGCAGCUACUUCGCGAGAAGACGCUAAUCUCGAAAGCCGGUCUCAGUUCGGAUCGAAGUCUGCAACCCGACUUCGUGAAGCUGGAUUCGCUAGUAAUCGCGCAUCAGCCAUGGCGCGGUCGAAUACGUUCCCGGGCCUU